GACGAACGCUGGCGGCGUGCCUAAUACAUGCAAGUCGAACGAACCGCGACUAGGUGCUUGCACUUGGUCAAGGUGAGUGGCGAACGGGUGAGUAACACGUGGGUAACCUACCUCAUAGUGGGGGAUAACAGUCGGAAACGACUGCUAAUACCGCAUAGGACAUAGGAUCACAUGAUUCUGUGAGGAAAGGUGGCGCAAGCUAUCGCUAAGAGAUGGACCCGCGGUGCAUUAGCUAGUUGGUAGGGUAAAGGCCUACCAAGGCGAUGAUGCAUAGCCGACCUGAGAGGGUGAUCGGCCACAUUGGGACUGAGACACGGCCCAAACUCCUACGGGAGGCAGCAGUAGGGAAUCUUCCGCAAUGGACGCAAGUCUGACGGAGCAACGCCGCGUGAGUGAAGAAGGUCUUCGGAUCGUAAAGCUCUGUUGUUAGAGAAGAACAGCGCAUAGAGUAACUGUUAUGCGUGUGACGGUAUCUAACCAGAAAACCACGGCUAACUACGUG
rnacentral:rRNA from 1 species